rnacentral:lncRNA from 1 species
AGAAACCAUGCCAUAGACAAACUUUAAAGUAGGCUCAUAGAAGACUGAACAGACUUUACAAACUCAAAGCUGAGAACAUCGGGAGAUCAAUACCAAUUUUCUGUGCCAGGAAGACUGCAGGGCCAAGACCAGGAGUGCCACCUAUAGAGGAAGCCAGGAGUUCACACAGAGAGGCUGUGCAAAAAGAAGAGGU